rnacentral:rRNA from 1 species
CAGUAGCCGCGGUAAAACGUAGGGCGCAAGCGUUGUCCGGAAUUAUUGGGCGUAAAGAGCUCGUAGGCGGUCUGUCGCGUCUGGUGUGAAAUCCCGAGGCUCAACCUCGGGCUUGCAUCGGGUACGGGCAGACUAGAGUGCGGUAGGGGAGACUGGAAUUCCUGGUGUAGCGGUGGAAUGCGCAGAUAUCAGGAGGAACACCGAUGGCGAAGGCAGAUCUCUGGGCCGUAACUGACGCUGAGGAGCGAAAGCGUGGGGAGCGAACAGGAUUAGAUACCCGAGUAGUCCCUGUCUCUUAUAC